UCUGGCCUCAAAUCGGGCGGGACUACCCGACUGAACUUAAGCAUAUCAAUAA
rnacentral:rRNA from 1 species